UAAUAAGCUUGCAUUUUUCCAUUAUUUGCAAGUUGUCAAACAGUGUUUGAUGUGCUUCACAUGCAUUAUCCUAUUUAAUCCUCACAGCUGAUGGCAUACUGCUGUAAGGACUAAAGCAUAAACACAAAGAAAAGAAACGCCUCUGACCCAGCCUCCCAUACUGAAGCCAUGACUGAAGAAAAUAAAAUGAAAUGCAUUAAGGGAAUGCCUGUGUGACUUUAGCGAACAAUUUCAGCAGAAAAACUUGCCUGAUAUUAGCCAACAAGACUGGAAAUUAAGAUGGAGGCAUUGGCCGGUUCCGGCGGCUCACGCCUGAAGUCCCAGCACUUUGGGAGGCCGAGCAGGUGGCCUGGAGAGGAAGAGAUAUGGAGUUAUUACAAAAAGGAAUCUGUAGUACUUGAAAACAAGCAAGAAACAGCAAGACAGAGGAAGAUGAAACUAAGAAGAAUAAGAAUCUUUUGUUUUCAGUUUCGAUAACGAAGCAAAUAAUGGAACCGAUGACAGGAAAAUUGAUUCAUAAGGUGAAGAUCAAGGAAUUUAACCGACUAGUAGACUGCGUAAGUUAUUUUAAUGUGCCUAACCUUUUGAGCAGCAUGAAGAAAAGUCUAGCAUUUCCAAAUAGUGGUGAUCAUGAUGAAAAAUCCAUUUAAACUUUCAUCAUAUAAAGACAAGCUGAACGUUUCAUAAUAUUUAGGGUGCAUUUUGUCAGUCUUACAAUAAUUUUAAAGGCAGACAUAUCAUAUAAGGUUUAUAUUGGUUCUGAAUAACUCUAGAAGAUAUCACACUUUAAACAGAUAUAUAUGGAAUAUUUUGUUAGAUGCUAUGCUCGAUAUUUAGUCAAUUCAGGCUGCUCUAACAAAGUCAUAGAUUGGGUGGCUUAUAAAC
rnacentral:lncRNA from 1 species